rnacentral:rRNA from 1 species
UGGGGAAUCUUGCGCAAUGGGCGCAAGCCUGACGACGCAACGCCGCGUGGAGGAUGAAGACCUUCGGGUCGUAAACUCCUUUCGAUCGAGACGAAUGGCCUCCGGGUGAACAAUCCGGAGGAGUGACGGUACCUCUUAAGGAAGCACCGGCUAACUACGUGCCAGCAGCCGCGGUAAUACGUAGGGGGCAAGCGUUGUCCGGAUUUACUGGGUGUAAAGGGUGCUCAGGUGGAUUUGUUAGUCGGAGGUGAAACUCCGGAGCUUAACUCCGGAACUGCCUCCGAAACAGCAAGUCUUGAGUUUGGUAGAGGAUGAUGGAAUAUCUGGUGUAGCAGUGAAAUGCGUAGAUAUCAGAUAGAACACCAAUGGCGAAGGCAGUCAUCUGGGCCAUAACUGACACUAAAGCACGAAAGCGUGGGGAUCAAACAGGAUUAGAUACCCCAGUAGUCCCUGAGCGGGCUGGCAAGGCGCAU